rnacentral:rRNA from 1 species
GAUGAACGCUGGCGGCGUGCCUAACACAUGCAAGUCGAGCGAACCCUUCGGGGUGAGCGGCGGACGGGUGAGUAACGCGUGGGUAACCUGCCCUAUACACACGGAUAACGUACCGAAAGGUACGCUAAUACGGGCUAAAGUUGGUGGAUGGCAUCUUCUAACAAUCAAAGCUCUGGCGGUAUAGGAUGGACCCGCGUCUGAUUAGCUAGUUGGUGAGGUAAUGGCUACCCAAGGCGACGAUCAGCAGCCGACCUGAGAGGGUGAUCGGCCACACUGGAACUGAGACACGGUCCAGACUCCUACGGGAGGCAGCAGUGGGGAAUAUUGCACAAUGGGCGAAAGCCUGAUGCAGCAACGCCGCGUGAGCGAUGAAGGUCUUCGGAUCGUAAAGCUCUGUCCUCAAGGAAGAUAAUGACGGUACUUGAGGAGGAAGCCCCGGCUAACUACGUGCCAGCCGCCGCAGUAA